rnacentral:rRNA from 1 species
AUUGAACGCUGGCGGCAGGCUUAACACAUGCAAGUCGAGCGGUAACAGAGAGAAGCUUGCUUCUCUGCUGACGAGCGGCGGACGGGUGAGUAAUGCCUAGGAAUCUGCCUAGUAGUGGGGGAUAACUUGCCGAAAGGUAAGCUAAUACCGCAUACGUCCUAUGGGAGAACGGAGGGGACCUUCGGGCCUUUCGCUAUUAGAUGAGCCUAGGUCGGAUUAGUUAGUGGGUGAGGUAAUGGCUCACCAAGACCGCGAUCCGUAACUGGUCUGAGAGGAUGAUCAGUCACACUGGAACUGAGACACGGUCCAGACUCCUACGGGAGGCAGCAGUGGGGAAUAUUGGACAAUGGGGGGAACCCUGAUCCAGCCAUGCCGCGUGUGUGAAGAAGGUCUUAGGAUUGUAAAGCACUUUAAGUUGGGAGGAAGAGCAGUUAACUAAUAUUUGACUGUUUUGACGUUACCGACAGAAUAAGCACCGGCUAACUUCGUGCCAGCAGCCGCAGUAA